GGAGCCCCAAAGAACAGGAAAACUCACUGAUUAUGAGAAACAGAGAAUGAAGAGAAUCGAAGAAAACAGAGCAAGAAUGGAGGCUAUGGGUCUGCACAAAAUGGCAACUUCUUUGAUGGGUUCUUCCCCAAAACCCCAGAAGAAAGGCAAGGACAGAAAGGGAAAAAAGAAAGUGGCUGAUGAAGAUGAAGAUUACGAUCCAGUUCAAAGUGAGGACCUUUCUUGUGAUACAGGUGAAGAGGAUGAUGGGGACUUUGAAGUUUCAAAGUCCCAAUUGAAAAAGUCAAAGAAAAAAA
rnacentral:misc_RNA from 1 species